rnacentral:lncRNA from 1 species
AAAAAAAGAAAAAAGAAAGAAAAAAGAAAGAAAGAAAAAAGAAAGAAAAAAGAAAAAACAAAAGAAUGGACCUCGGUCCUUAUGCAAAGCUUCCACUGGUCCUGUCCCAGGCUGAUCUUGAAGAGGGUCGCGGCAACACCCAUGUCCCGUUCCAAGCCUCGCUGUGUAAGUAGGAAACCACACUGACAACAUAGAUAGGCCAUUAGCAUGCCCUCAAAACAACGUACAAAACUUUUAUAGUCUGAAUGAUUUUAAUUACAGAAAUAUGUUUAUGAAUUUGUCUUUUUUAAUUUUAAUUUUCUUUAACAUUAAUUUAUUUCAAAGAUGUGAAACCUUCCCCUUGAAAAAUAAUUUCUGGAGACUUCAGAUUUUAUAAUUUGUUGGUUUUUCUGUCUCAGGUCCGAGUGUAGCAGUACAGCCUCGUCCAGAACCAGGAUAAGUCCACUCCUCGGCUGUUACUGAGGAAGGUCCCACCGAUGUUCAGCCCCUCACGUUUCUCCUCCCCCAAGCUCAACCAGGUAAGUCACUCUCACUCCUCUUCUGUCUCUCCCUCUUUCUCUCCCUCUCCUCCUGUCUCUCAAAGAAAAAAAGAAAGAAAAAAGAAAGAAAAAAAGAAAAAAGAAAGAAAAAAAGAAAAAAAAGAAAGAAAGAAAAAAGAAAAAACAAGAAAG